rnacentral:rRNA from 1 species
UAGAUAUUCAAUGCUGGAAGGCUUGGAUAUCGAAAGCGCAAGCGCCAGAGGGUGAGUCUGCGGCCUAUCAGGUAGUAGGUGGUGUAACGGACCACCUAGCCUAAGACGGGUACGGGCCUUGAGAGAGGGAGCCCGGAGAUGGGUUCUGAGACACGAACCCAGGCCCUACGGGGCGCAGCAGGCGCGAAACCUUCGCACUGCGCGAAAGCGCGACGAGGGGAGCCCGAGUGCCUCUCCAUUUCGGGGAGGCUUUUCACAAGCCUAAAAAGCUUGUGGAAUAAGGGCUGGGCAAGACGGGUGCCAGCCGCCGCGGUAAUACCCGCAGCUCGAGUGGUGGUCGCUUUUAUUGAGCCUAAAACGUUCGUAGUCGGCCUUGUAAAUCCCUGGGUAAAUCGGACCGCUUAACGGUUCGAAUUCCGGGGAGACUGCAAGGCUAGGGACCGGGCGAGGUCAGAGGUACUUUCGGGGUAGGAGUGAAAUCCUGUAAUCCCGAAGGGACCACCUGUGGCGAAAGCGUCUGACUUGAACGGCUCCGACGAUGAGGAACGAAGGCUAGGGGAGCAAACCGGAUUAGAUACCCGGGUAGUCCUAGCUGUAAACUCUGCCCGCUUGGUGUGGCCUGUCCUUCGGGGGCAGGCUGUGCCGGAGCGAAGGUGUUAAGCGGGCUGCUUGGGGAGUACGGCCGCAAGGUUGAAACUUAAAGGAAUUGGCGGGGGAGCACCGCAACGGGAGGAUGCGUGCGGUUUAAUGGAGUCAACGC